rnacentral:lncRNA from 1 species
CAUGAUCUGAACUAUAGGCUUGUAUCUCUGUAUUCUUGUUGUGUGGUCCUUAAAGAUCAUUUAGGCAGUAGAGAGAAUCGUUCUCUGCCAAGUCUCUUAGCUGGGGGUAGUACUGCAGUUGUCUGACGUAUUCCCCUUUUUUGGUUGUGGUACGUAGGCUCCAAACUCAGUGACAAUGGACCAAAAAGAGCUACCCUUGGGGGCUAGCCACCAUUCUUGUGGGUUGUUAGACUUGGCUCAGUCCAUGACAAGGG